UACAGAGGUCUCAAGCGUUGUUCGGAUUCAUUGGGCGUAAAGGGUGCGUAGGCGGCGCGGUAAGUCGGGUGUGAAAUCUCUGGGCUCAACCCAGAGACUGCUUCCGAAACUGCUGUGCUUGAGUGUGAGAGAGGCGUCGUGGAAUUGCAGGUGUAGCGUGAAAUGCGUAGAUAUCUGCAGGAACACCCGUGGCGAAAGCGGCGAGCUGGAUCACUACUGACGCUGAGGAACGAAAGCUAGGGGAGCAAACAGG
rnacentral:rRNA from 1 species